UAAUGGAUCAUAGCCUAGAAGUACGUGCCCAUCACCGUUUAUGAUAGAAAGUGCAUUAUAUGCAUAUAUUAUAGCCUAACACUGUUUAUGAUAGGCUAUAAUUAAGCAAUAAGGCACGAGGGGGUCUGGUAUAUGGUCAAUAUACCAUGGCUAAGGGCUGUUUUGUCAUACGCUUAGGAUACUGUCAGCCAAUCAGCAUUCAGUGCUCGAACCACCCAGUUUAUAAUAUAUGCAUAUAAUACACUAAACAUGUCAGAAGUGCUGGAGGAGGGUUAUGAUUGGAAAAAAGCUAGUCCGGGCAAGAAAGCACAAACUCAAACAAAAGACAAAGAAUUUAAAUUAAAGAAUGAACAAUGAUCUCAUUUGGUGGUAAAAGUAUCUAUUUUAUGUGUGCUUAUGUCAUGCAUACACAUUGAAAAAGUGCCAUUAAGUGAAUUCUACAGAAGCACACAAUUGUAUGUGAUGAAUUAAAAUAAAUGGGGCCUAUACAAUCAAUGACACCCUUGUAAAACCAUGGACUUGGGAAUGCUCCAAGGUGCCUGGAUUUCAAUCAAAACAUCCUGAAAUAAGACUUCCGCAGCAUAACCACUCAUUCAUUCAACCUAAAGGCAUUUAGGCCUAAGACAACAGAUCUAUAUAUCUCUCUUGAAAAAAAAAAAAAGCAAUUGCGCACCAUAAAAGUAUUUAACAAUUGAAAAUGAAUCUUGAUAUAUAAUAAUCCUCCCGGUCUGUUAGGUUUAUGUACUCUUGUUUGUAUAUUUCUGGGUUGUUUUUGUAUUUGUGUUCAUAAUAAAAAUACUUUUACAGUAGCUCGAGCCAUCUUCCAUGAAGAAGCAGCCUGUAUGUAUCACGUGAUAUUUUGACGUCUGGAGCAUCUACCAGUAUUUGCAUGACACCACCACAUAACAUUGAGCUAGGACUGAUAUGAGACUAAGAAGGUAACACAGCAAAUCUAUGAGCUAUAACUAUUUCACUUUUCAAAAUUGUGUCCAUAGACAAACAUUAAGUGAUAUAUAUAUUUUAGAUGUACAUGUUGUCAAUGAAUAUAAUAUAGCUACUACUGUUGCUUUAAAACAGAUUGACAGCAUAAAUAACAUUUGUUUCGAUAUAUUGUGCAUCACAUGGUCUCAUUUCCUGCACUGAAACAGGGGCCUUGAAGUUCAGUUCUUUCGUCUCCCAAGCAGUACCAUAAGACACCAAAAUCAGCAAGGGAUCACACCACGCUGUCCUUGUCAAGUACCCUGUUCUGUCACAAUGCUCUGAGUCACCUUCCCGUUGCAACAUGUACAUCACAGACCACAGCCCAACUACUGGGGUGGUGACAAUCGUAGUGAUCCUCAUUGCUGUUGCUGCCCUCAGUGUUCUCAUCUGCGGAUGUUGGUGCUACCUGCUCCUGCAGCGGAUUGGCCAGUCUGAAGAUGAGGAGAGUAUUGUAGGAGAGGGCGAGACCAAGGAGCCCUUCCUGAUGGUACAGUACUCCACCAGGGGCCCUCACGCCGAGCACAAAACCAAGCUCGCCCACAACGGCACUGAGAAUCACACUUAACUGAGUCAUUAAGAAACUGUGUCAUCACCUAAUAUUAACCAAGAGGAUCACCUCAUUCACAUUUCCUGCUGAUCAUCAUCUUUCAUCGUGCCAUUGAAGGAUGAUAAAUGGACUGCAGCUCAUUGUCUUAUGAGGAAAUGUGAUAUUUUUGUUUCUCAUUCCAUUGUGUGGAUCUCAGGAUGUGAGGUUGUGAACAGUUCAUUGUUAGGUUUCUUAAGUGUACAUAUUUUGAACUAAAAAAUUACAUCUGAUCGAUGUUGAUAGUUUUUGUUAACUCAACAAUCCACUACUGAAUUGUGACGGUAGACAGCGCUCUGAACAAAUGAGUGGGCAAAACCUUCUUCAGAGCUUGUUGGAAGAAUGUAUGACAAAUUGAUGACAAAACAAUUUACUUAAUUUCAAGUUGCUCAAAUUAUUUUAAAUUUGCUUAAUUUGUUUGUUUGUUUUGCAUAGUUGAACUUGGUUUUAUUUACCUUCAGUAUUCAAAUGUGAGUUAAUAGCCAUUUUAAUAAUUUGCUAAAUGCCAGAUUUGCCCGAAGAUAAAAAGUGUGAUUCACUCUCUAGUUUAUGUCUGUUUGUCGCUGCCACUUACUAAAUCAUCUAUUUUCUCCUGUGGUUGCACAGAUAACCACUGAAAUAAAACCAGUCAUUGAAAGGGCAAUUCUUCUUUGAUAAACCAUCACAUUUCACAAGCACAAGGUCCCGGGUCUGAGUUUUAGUGAGGUUCGCACUCUAAAAUACUAUUUGGAGAACAGCAAAAAUUACUACACAUUUAGAUAGCUGGCUAGACUAAUUUAACAAUCUAAAAAAUGUUUUUGCGAUGGGCUAAUUGAGUGACAGUCAGAGAGCGACAUAUAAGAAGAGGGAAACUGCUGAUUCACAACCAAGUUCGAAAUUGCACCUUGUGUAUUUUACUAUUCUAACUCUCAACAGUAAGUUGAAACCCCAACUGUUCCUAAAAAAAUGAUAGAUUAUUAUAUAUUUUUUUAAAUGUUGGCAAGGUCUGUACCUAGGUGUCCUCAUUUGUAGCUACAACACUGAGUAGCUGCUACAACUGACAUGGGUUGAGGAGUCCUGCCAAGAAGCUACCAAGAGCCAAUGACAUAUUUUCUAUAUUCAGUUGCAACAUAGGAAAUCCUGAUGGCCAGAUUCUAUGGUAGCUGAGUAGGUUGAUAUUUGAUGAAACAAUGUUAUAAAGUAUUAUGAAAUGUAAAUAACAUUGUGAAGACUAUUGUUCUCUUUGUCAUUUGAUGUACCAUUGUAUCAUUUCUUGACUUGCUAAAUAAAGGUUCAAUUAAAAAAAUACAAAUCCA